rnacentral:rRNA from 1 species
UGACGCUGGCGGCAUGCCCUACACAUUCAGUCGAACGGUAACAGGUCCUUCGGAUGCUGACGAGUGGCGAACGGGUGAGUAAUACUACGGAACGUGCCCGAUCGUGGGGGAUAACGAAGCGAAAGCUUUGCUAAUACCGCAUAAGAUCUACGGAUGAAAGCAGGGGACCGCAAGGCCUUGCGCGAACGGAGCGGCCGAUGGCAGAUUAGGUAGUUGGUGGGAUAAAAGCUUACCAAGCCGACGAUCUGUAGCUGGUCUGAGAGGACGACCAGCCACACUGGGACUGAGACACGGCCCAGACUCCUACGGGAGGCAGCAGUGGGGAAUUUUGGACAAUGGGCGAAAGCCUGAUCCAGCCAUGCCGCGUGCAGGAUGAAGGCCUUCGGGUUGUAAACUGCUUUUGUACGGAACGAAAAGACUCUGGUUAAUACCUGGGGUCCAUGACGGUACCGUAAGAAUAAGCACCGGCUAACUACGUGCCAGCAGCCGCGGUAAUACGUAGGGUGCAAGCGUUAAUCGGAAUUACUGGGCGUAAAGCGUGCGCAGGCGGUUAUAUAAGACAGAUGUGAAAUCCCCGGGCUCAACCUGGGAACUGCAUUUGUGACUGUAUAGCUAGAGUACGGCAGAGGGGGGAUGGAAUUCCGCGUUGUAGCAGUGAAAAUGCGUAGAAUUUGCGGAAGGAACAACCGAAUUGGCGAAGGCAAUCCCCUGU